rfam:Perkinsus marinus ATCC 50983 gcontig_1104296541294, whole genome shotgun sequence.
AAGGCCUGAUGUGUGUGAGAUUACCCGCUGAAUUUAAGCAUAUAAGUAAGCGGAGGAAAAGAAACUAACUAGGAUUCCCUUAGUAAUGGCGAAUGAACAGGGAUCAGCUCAGUGCCAAAUCGGAAUCACUUGUGGUUCUGAAAUGUGGCUUGAAGGCAGUACCAGUGGCAUCGCGGACGAAAGUCUCUUGGAAAAGAGCGUCAUAGAGGGUGAGAAUCCCGUGAGUCGUUCGCCGUUUGUCACGUACGGUCUGCGUUCUAACGAGUCGCGUUCCUUGGGAUUGGAGCGUAAACGGGUGGUAAAUUUCAUCCAAAGCAAAAUAUAUACUCGAGACCGAUAGCACAAAAGUACCGUGAGGGAAAGGUGAAAAGAACUUUGAGAAGAGGGUUAAAUAGUGCCUGAAAUCGUUGAGAAGGAAGCGGAUGCCGCCGUUGCAUAUGCUGAUUGUAGGAUUGCUGCUCGCUCCUGUCUUCUGCUACUCAUUCACAGACCUGGUCGUGUUGAGCAGUUGUUUGGCAGAUGUUAGUGGUGUUUCCUACUUUCAGUCGUCAGCAUCACUGGCUGAGUGGAAAUAAUCCUUGGAUGCUAAUUGGUUCGCUAUCUGUGAAUUGGUUGCUUCCUUGCGAUACUCACUACUCGGUCAGUGAGGAAGUGCGUUUGCUGGUCAACGAGCUUUCUAACUGUCAUUACCCUGCGCUUUUCGAUUCGUCGAGUGGCCAGGAUGUGGCUUUGAGAUUGUUCGCACUUAGUAAUCGCGAUGCUGGCUUCCAACGGUUGCCUCCGGCCCGUCUUGAAACACGGACCAAGGAGUCUAACGUAUGUGCGAGUGUGUGAGUGGCAAACUUAUACGCGUAAUGAAAGUGAGCCGUAUGGCCAUGUUGGGGUCACCAACAACCGACC